rnacentral:pre_miRNA from 7 species
ACCGCCAGUGGAAAUUCUAUUAUCACUGGCGGUUUCCUUAAGAAAACCGCCAGUGAAAAUAGAAUUUCCGCUGGCGGU